rnacentral:rRNA from 1 species
AGAGUUUGAUCAUGGCUCAGAGCGAACGCUGGCGGCGUACUUAACACAUGCAAGUCGAACGAGGAUCAUCGGUGUAGCAAUACAUUGGUGGUCCUAGUGGCGCACGGGUGAGUAACACGUGGGUGACCUGCCCUAGAGCUCGGGAUACCCCCUCGAAAGGGGGGCUAAUACCGGAUACGUUCCUCGGUCGAAAGAUCGGGGAGGAAAGGUGGCGCAAGCUGCCGCUCUUGGAGGGGCUCGCGGCCUAUCAGCUAGUUGGCGGGGUAACGGCCCACCAAGGCUAUGACGGGUAGCUGGUCUGAGAGGACGACCAGCCACACGGGGACUGAGACACGGCCCCGACUCCUACGGGAGGCAGCAGUGGGGAAUUUUCCGCAAUGGGCGAAAGCCUGACGGAGUGACGCCGCGUGUGGGACGAAGGCCUUCGGGUCGUAAACCACUGUCAGUGGGAAAGAUGGGUGUCGGGGCUAAUACCUCCGGCAUCUGACGGUACCUGCAGAGGAAGCCCCGGCCAACUCUGUGCCAGCAGCCGCGGUAAGACAGAGGGGGCAAGCGUUGCUCGGAAUUACUGGGCGUAAAGGGCGCGUAGGCGGGAUGGCAAGUCGGUCGUGAAAUCCCUCGGCUCAACCGAGGAACGUCGAUCGAUACUGCUGUUCUUGAGGAUUGCAGAGGAGACUGGAAUUCCCGGUGUAGCGGUGAAAUGUGUAGAGAUCGGGAGGAACACCGGUGGCGAAGGCGGGUCUCUGGGCAAUUCCUGACGCUGAGGCGCGAAAGCGUGGGGAGCAAACGGGAUUAGAUACCCUAGUAGUCC